GCUUCCCCUCAGCUGCCCAGGGCUGUACUUAAAGGAGAAGGCUGCUCCUGUGGGGGACAGUGGGCUUGGGACAGAGAUGUCCAGUCUCUCCGUCCUCCCCCAGGCUAUCAGCAAUUGAAGGCGUACAUCUGGCGAUGGUGGGAUGCACAAAUGAACGGGCUUGGCAGACUGCCAGCGUCUGAGAGCAGCCCCCGGUCCUGCAGACUAUUAGAAGGGCAGAUCUGCAGGUCUGACAGGAGGAGGGGGAGCAGAGGAAGGCCAGGGCAUUCCACACAGCGCCUCAGCAGAGGGAGGCAGGGCAGCAUGGGAAAGCUGGCGUCCUGAUGUAAUAAUUUGCUCGGAAGCAAAGCCUUUACUGUCCCUUAGUCCAACCUGUAUCUGAGACUGAGGACAGCAGGCAGGCUGGCCGGCUUCUAUCUAGUGCCUGUCAAGGUAGGCGGGCUGCGGAUGGGGACACCCAGUGAUCCUGGUAUCCCCUCUUCCAGCUGCUAUUCUAGAACUUUCUACUGCCUCUCUGAGGGUCUCAGACACCGCCACACACUCUCACAGUGGGUCAGGCUCCCCACUCACACACGCCUUCAGAUAUAUAGAUGCUGCCAAGAAGGAAGAAAAGCCACUGGGAUUAGGAUUCUCUCAGAACCCAAACGUUCUACAGAGCCAGACUGUCCCCUCAUCAAGCCUCACUUAGGAGAACUUGGGUCCUACCUAGCCAGCUGCCCAGGGCUGGAGGCCUUCCUUGAGAAGCCACCUUCACCUUUUACAAGGACUUGCUUUGCUCCUAAAUCAUUCCACAUUUAGAGAGCACAGUUCUAGGCGCUCUGUGGCUAUGGUGACCAGAAGACAAGUGUACAAUUAAUGAAGACUCAAGUCAGCACCUGGGCCCAGACAAGGGUGAUGACAGAGAGGGGAGUGACGUCGGGGAGGGGGCUGAAAGAGAGCAGAUGGGGCAGGUAGUGUUCAUCUUUAGUCCCAGCACUUUGGGGUGGGAAGAGGCAGAUCUCUGUGAGUUCCAGCCCAGCCUGGUCCACAUCAAAUUUCAGGCCAGGUAUAUAGAGGGGUUUAUAUACCUGAAUAUAUAUAUUCAGACCCAUAGGCAGGACAGCAAACUGCCUAUGGGUCUGGCGACAGAAGCAUAGUGGUCAGUUGGGGUUUGCUUGGCUGUCGGGGCUCUUGCUGGGAUGAGAUGGUGCCUCUGGGAGUCUGAAGCUCUUUGCCUUCUCAGAAACCCUCUGCUCUCCUCUGCAGUGCCCAGCAUGCCAGUCUUAAUCCUAACCAGGGUAAUAAGCAUAGCACAGGAUAGCCCACUCCAUCUGCUCUAGUUCAUAGGAACCAAGAGUUUUUCAAGUCCAGGGUGUGGACAGAAGAGGCCGGAGGUCAGGGAGCUUCCCUGAGCAACUGCAGUCUGCUGACCCGGGGGCUGCAGCGUUCAUAGAGAAGGUCUUUGUUUAUCCCAGGUCCCUGAAUAUCCUGCAUGCCAGGGAUAACAACUGAGCUUGCAAGCAGCUCCCAGGUUGGACCCAGAAGCAGUACUGACAAAACCAAUGAACCUCAACGUCUGGGUGGCUGUGCUGCUGUUCUAGAAAAAUAAACAUAAAAGGUUUCCACCA